rnacentral:rRNA from 1 species
UGGGGAAUAUUGCGCAAUGGGGGAAACCCUGACGCAGCGACGCCGUGUGAGGGAAGAAGGCCUUCGGGUCGUAAACCUCUGUCGGGAGGGAAGAACCGCCGGUUUCCGAACAGGGAGCCGGUCUGCCGGUACCUCCGAAGGAAGCGCCGGCUAACUCCGUGCCAGCAGCCGCGGUAAUACGGAGGGCGCGAGCGUUAAUCGGAAUCACUGGGCGUAAAGCGCGCGUAGGCGGCCAGAUAAGUCGGGCGUGAAAGCCCUCGGCUCAACCGGGGAACUGCGUUCGAUACUGUUUGGCUUGAGUCCUGGAGAGGGUGGCGGAAUUCCGGGUGUAGGAGUGAAAUCCGUAGACAUCCGGAGGAACACCGGUGGCGAAGGCGGCCACCUGGACAGGUACUGACGCUGAGGUGCGAAAGCGUGGGGAGCAAACAG